GCCACUUUCUGAACUGUGACCGUUUUCGGUUAGUUUUUGAAAAUGCCAAACACAGUAUGCUUAUUAUGGAAGGUGUAUAAGCAGUUCUUGGGAAGCACAUCUUGAAUGUCUUGAAAGGAGUGAAACAGACUUUGGGCUGGAGCCCUCCAGUUGUGAGGGACCCACGUCACUGGGCACGUGUGGGCCCAUGGCUGCUCUCCGCCCUCUGUCCCCAGGAGAAUGCGCCCUGGACCAGAGUUCUCGGGGUGCGUUCUGUGACACCGGCCAGGUGUCCUUGAGACCAAACUGCUUGCACCAUGAUUACUCCCAAGACCUGUUUGCCCUUCUCACUGCUGGCGUUUACACAGACGGUACGAAGGUGACGGGGCUGAAACUGCUUUCCUGGGCACCAGGCAGUGCUGACUGUCGCUGUGUUCCUCAUCCCCAUGCAUUUGCAGGGGAAAGCAGGUUCAUCUAAGAAUGUCCCUGUCGAAGCAGUAAACACUGUUAAUUUGAUCAAAAUCUUGACCCUUCAGUGCCUCUCCUUUGCAAAGUGUGCACAGGGCACUCUGCCACUGCCGAAACUGGAUUGUUUACUCAAGGGAGCCCACGUUGUGUGAUUGAGUUGCCAGCUGAAGUAGCCGCUUUCUCCAUGAAACACCAUUUCACCACUGAGAGGAUAACUGACAGGCCAACUCUGUCUACCCAGACUUGGAUUUUGGCUGAAGCUUUCUCAGGUGAACAGAGUGAGCCGCUCACUUCUAGGAAAAUAGCUGAUAUGUGCUUCCAGUGAUAAAAUCUGAGUUUUCAAAUGAAAAUUAGAAUUCCGAGAAGCUGGUACAUACCACCAUGAGCCUGAUAGCUUCUCGAUAUUUAAAACAUUUUCUACCCAUAUCAGUCAAUAUUGUAUUAGCUGAUGUGAAUUUCGAUAAUAUACUUCUGAAAUGUAUAAAUAUUUAGAAGAUUUGCAUAGCUCAGGGAACUAAUAUUUUCCAGAUGAUCAGCAUAUAAAGUUACAAAGUUAUGUUUGGGUCAAAAUUCAAAAUGCAAGAUAGACUGACGGCUUUUAAUGUAACAGCGCCCAUAGUUCUUUGGUGAGGCUUUCGGGAUCCACAUCACAGCCGCCCUGUAGAAGCUACCUCUUUUCGAGUUCUGACGUAAGUACCAAAGAAGAAUGUCCACGGUCGCUGGAGAAGGAUUUUCUUCGUGUGCUUCAUCUAGAAACAUGGAUGGAAACAGAAUGAAGGAGUAGCAGCUGUGAGAAUCCAGCUGUCUUCUGUUGAGCCAGCCAUUCAAGAGACCCUCAAGAAAGUAAAACCAGGCCACUGUUAACCGUUUUCCAAAACAAACCAAAAAAUAGUUAUUUUUCAUAAAAAUGUUGUUUGUGAUAACAUGAAAUAUAGUUAUUUUAAGUGAAUUACAAAAUAUUUUAAAGUUCUCAGCUUUAAUUUCUGAUAUAGUAAAUAUUAGUCGGUGUAACCCAGAUGGAAAAAUGGCUCUGUAGGGUCCUCGUUGUUUAAGGGUGAGACCAACAAGUUUGGAAGCCACUGCUCUAGACAGACGUUGGCAGCCAAGCUUCCUGUUGGGUCUGUCGUGAUGUGUUGGGCCCAUGCUACAGAAGAAAGAUCAGACGCUUCCUGCUUCUCUGAGCUCCCAUGUCCCCUCAUCAUUCUGGGGGGAACGUCUUCAAAUGCACUCUCUGCUCAUUCAUUUGUAGAUGAUGGUCUAUCAGAAAAGGUGAUGUCCUUCCUUGUGUGCAGUGAGCUUUGCUAGAAUUUCCAAGGGCCUUGGAAGUCAUAAUUGUGGGUGAAAUAGACCUGCUAUUUGAAAAGGCUCAGCGUGCCACCUUCGAAAGAAUCUAAGCUAACCAGAACGAUGUUGAAGAAGUCUUCUACGCGGUGGCUCUUCGUCUUUGUUGAGGCCAAGCACACGCUCUUCCGUCAGGACAUCUCACCAGGAAGAACGGGUGGUCCUCACAGAGGAGAGGGAGCGCGUGUGAGCCGAAGACGCCUUUCCUGUGGUUCUGCUGUGUGCCUGGAGGCUGUGACUGUGAUCAGGAUCCCUACCCAGGUCUUGUCUGCCACGGUCCUGUUUCAGUAGUGGAUUACAGCCAGGACAGAGAGGAAGGACUGCUCGGGGAUGAGUGCAGCGAGGCACAGGCAGGUGUUGCUCCAGGGCGUGCCUGGGGCCCCCGUGGGGUUGGGGAAGGGAAUCCAAGGGUCUCUGCCGUGGACCUAGGAGUUUCCCCUAAGCCUCCAUCUGACUUUGCUCUCCCAUAGAUGAUUAGGGUGAAUAAGCUCCAGGGUUCCACACAGCUGACUGGUACCGUUCUUUAUUUCGUCUGCAGUUGAGCUGCUGUGGGGAGAGAGGGGACGUCCAGUGCUGGAUGUCAGAAGGUUCACGUCCCAGGGUGUCCUGCUGCAUCUGAGCUCUAAGGCUGCAGAGGAACCUUCUUUACAAAUUGCUCCAUUGUCAUGGCUGGCAUUCUGGUUAAAAGUUCAUCUGGAUUUCAACCUCGCGUGAAAUUGCAGAGCUGCGACUGGAAAGCUCGGCAUCACUUGAGAACCUUUAGGGAGCUCUCAGACAUUACAGGGAGGAUUGAGUAAAACACGCUGGGUUCCAUUCACUCAAGUUUGGGGGAGUGGAAAAAAAUCUAAGUUCUCUCAUUUUUAUUGCCUACUUUUCAGUUACACCCAGAAGGAGAAAACAAAAGAGAAGCAUCACCCUUACAUUGUAAGAACCUUUGAAACCCUUUUAAAUACGAAUUCUGUGAGAUUUGCCACACUGGUUAGCCAGUGCCUCGGUCCCUUUCUUUUGGAUUAUCCCACCUGAAGAUGACGUGGACUUUUAAUUGUUCGGAAGCCUCAGUCUCUCCCUCCGAGGCAGAGGUCAGCAGACAGCCUGUGGUCUGCCACCUCUGGCCCACCAGCCCGUUUCUGUACGGCCAAAGCACUAAGUGUGGUUUUUACCUUUUUAAAGGUUUGUAGGAAAUAAAGGUUAGGAAACAGACCUUAUGUGGCCUGGAAAGCCUGAAACACUUCUUUCUGGCCCUCUUCUGAGGAACACUCGUAACCUCUGCUCUCCGGGGUUGACACACAAAGACUGAGUGGCUGUGUGGCGUUUUUAUACCCACAGGGCGGUGCGGGGCCCUGUCUGGGGGGAAGAGGCUUCACAGGAGCUGUGAGUGGCCGGGGCCGCUGUCCCACUGCCCAGGCAGGCCUGGUGGCGGCUGCAGGACGGGGUGGUACUGUCCUGGCAUGUGUUCAGGAUCCCUUCAGCUCUGUCCUUAAGCCAGCGUGUGUCCUGAGCACAGACGUAGGAGCCAGGCUUCCCAGGACUGCGCCCUGGCUUGAAGGCUGCUUAGCUGUGGAACCUUGGGCAAGUUACUUGUCCUUUCUGCCCGUUUCCAUCUGGAAAACGGGGACGACGGGGUUGGCCUCGUGCAGUGGGCAAGAGGAACCCUGAGUGAAGGGUUGCGCAGGCCUGGCACGUGCGAGCCCAUCUGUUGUCAUUGCCGUGGUGGCCCACGCUCACCUGUGGAGUGGUGCUGGCUCCGUAGUUAAAGUGGAAAACUGCUCUCUGGAAUAAACAGAAUUGGGAAGAAUCUGAACUACGUGUGGGCACCAAACUAUAACACUAAGCCGUGGGGUGAAGCCGCGCUUGCUCUUUCCCUUGUGGAUUGUUAGGGAGGGACGUGGCCUGCUCGGGCUGCUGUGACACACACAGACUGGGUGGUGUAGACAGCAGACACUUAGUUCUCAUUGGCCUGGAGGCCGAAAGUCCAAAGUCAGGGUGCAGGCAGAUUCCAGUCUUGUGAGGACCCUCUUUCCGGUUUGCAGACAGCUGCCCUCUGGCACCCUCCCAGGGUGGAGAGCAGGGGGCAGCAGCGCGCUCUCUGUGCGUCUCUAUCCCCUGGGACGGCGGUGUCUGUGUGACACACGCUCGUGACUGGAGCGUUCACAUAUGGCAUGUCUGUUUUUGCUCUAAUAGGUCAUUUCUCUAGCUUUCCCGAAAGCUGCAACAGUUUACGCGUCCUCAAAGAGAUAGGUGACAGGUGACCUCAUUGUUGCCGUCUGAUGGGAAUGACGUGCACGUCCCUGUAAAGGUGGAGCGUCCUGUUUGCUGGCCACUCCAGGUCUCCUUUCCGUCACCACUGUGCUCAGCUCCGUUACCCAGGGCGCAGCCUGGGCCCGUCCACCCUGCAGGCACGCUGGCCUCUGCCUAGCUCAGCACGGGCUCAGGGACACUCCCUCUUGCCCACUGCUGGCUGCAGCUCCUUUGAGGGGCGCGUCCGUGCCCACCGCUCCUUGGCUGCCCCCUGCAUGGCACGGCAGUCCGGGAUGGUCCCGGAGGCUCCACGUGGCUGGGGCUGGCUCUCAUGUCAGUCCUUGCAUGCUGACCUGAACCCCCUUUGGCUCCUGGCCCCUCUUGAGGGACACGUGGGAAAGAAACGAGAAGGUCCUCUGAUAGGCAGAACUGGAGGCAACAAGCUGAACUCACUUCCUGGCCCAGGUGUUUGGGGAGUGCAUUCAACAGUCACCCAUUCUCAUCACUUAGAAGUGCGGCAGGCAGUUAAAUAUAGACCCUGAGCCGUUGUACUGUGUGGGAUGCGCUUGACUGGGGAGCCGUUUCUUGACAGAGGGAGGUUGGCAGGUAGUUUG